AUUGAAACACCGGUUCCCGUACAAUCAACGAAGUUAAGCAACAUUGAGUCUGGUCAAUAACCAGUUAGGUGACAUCUUGGGAAUACCAGGUGCUGUA